AGUGAACCCCGGGCGGUAGGCCUAACACAGGCAAGUCGAACGGCAGCACAGAGGAGCUUGCUCCUUGGGUGGCGAGUGGCGGACGGGUGAGGAAUACAUCGGAAUCUACUCUGUCGUGGGGGGAUAACGUAGGGAAACUUACGCUAAUACCGCAUACGACCUACGGGUGAAAGCAGGGGAUCUUCGGACCUUGCGCGAUUGAAUGAGCCGAUGUCGGAUUAGCUAGUUGGCGGGGUAAAGGCCCACCAAGGCGACGAUCCGUAGCUGGUCUGAGAGGAUGAUCAGCCACACUGGAACUGAGACACGGUCCAGACUCCUACGGGAGGCAGCAGUGGGGAAUAUUGGACAAUGGGCGCAAGCCUGAUCCAGCCAUACCGCGUGGGUGAAGAAGGCCUUCGGGUUGUAAAGCCCCUUUGUUGGGAAAGAAAUCCAGCCGGCUAAUACCUGGUUGGGAUGACGGUACCCAAAGAAUAAGCACCGGCUAACUUCGUGCCAGCAGCCGCGGUAAUACGAAGGGUGCAAGCGUUACUCGGAAUUACUGGGCGUAAAGCGUGCGUAGGUGGUUAUUUAAGUCCGUUGUGAAAGCCCUGGGCUCAACCUGGGAACUGCAGUGGAUACUGGAUGACUAGAAUGUGGUAGAGGGUAGCGGAAUUCCUGGUGUAGCAGUGAAAUGCGUAGAGAUCAGGAGGAACAUCCAUGGCGAAGGCAGCUACCUGGACCAACAUUGACACUGAGGCACGAAAGCGUGGGGAGCAAACAGG
rnacentral:rRNA from 1 species